AUGCCGUGUGGAAAACGCAUGCCGCGCUCCAGAAUUCCACAGAGUCGGCGUCGCUCGGUCGCUGUUGUCGACGUUUCGCUGCCGGUCGGCCCGGUCCUGCCACCGCCACCACAUACAAGUGGGCGUCGUGCAGACCAAACAACUCGCUCCACUCGAAUUCCAACCAUGGCAGGGCACGCCCAAGCUUCAACAACACCUCUGCUGUGCCUCCCCCUCUGCCUCCUAGUACUGCUAUCCUCUGCCCAACGGGCAACGGGCAUGUACCUCGACGCCGGCGGAAACCACGAGACCUUCUCCGGCGGCACCGUGCCUGAGAGCUUCAGCGUACGGAGCCGCAACUCCUCCAACAGCUCCGGCGCCGGCGCGGCCUUCUGCAGGCUCCUCUCCCUCCAGAUCCUCGACCUGUCCAACAACCAGCUCACGGGCGAGCUCCCCGACUGCUGGUGGAAUCUGCAGGCGCUGCAGUUCAUGGACCUCUCCAACAACUCCUUCUCGGGUCAAAUCCCCGCUGCCGAGGCAAGUCACAACUGCUCCCUCGAGUCGCUCCAUCUCGCCGGCAAUGACUUCACCGGCACCUUCCCGCGGGUCUUGGAUCAUUGCGAUUCGCUGACCACCCUCGACAUCGGGAAUAAUAAGUUCUUCGGCGCCAUCCCUCCAUGGAUAGGAACCCGUGUUCCAUCGUUGAGAAUCCUUAGCCUUAGAUCAAACAAUUUCACAGGAGAAAUCCCUUCGAAGUUGUCGCGGCUUUCUAAACUCCAGCUGCUCGACCUUGCCAACAACAGACUGACAGGACCAAUCCCUGUAGCAUUCGGCAACAUGGCCUCCAUGAGGCAUCCAGAAAUUGUGUCGAGUCAGGCAUCAGCGCUGGAUGGGUCGAAUUAUCAGGAUAGAAUCGAUAUAAUCUGGAAGGGCCAGGAGCUCAUCUUCCAAAGAACGAUCCGGUUAUUAACCGGCAUCGAUCUGUCAGGCAAUAUGUUGUCUCGGUGCAUCCCUGAAGAGUUAACUAGGCUGGAAGGCCUCCGAUUUCUAAACCUGUCAAGAAACCAUCUGUCAUGCGGCAUCCCUAAAGAUAUUGGUAGUUUGAGGAAUCUCGAGUCUCUUGAUCUAUCAUGUAAUGAGCUUUAUGGAAACAUUCCACAGAGCAUCUCGAUCUUGUCCGGGCUCAGCACAUUCAACAUCUCGAACAAUCAUUUGUCAGGCAAGAUACCUACUGGGAGCCAGAUGCAGACGUUGACCGACCCUUCGAUUUACCGGAACAAUUCCGGCCUUUGCGGAUUUCCUCUAGAGGAUUGUCCAAAUACUUCGCCUGCUUCGGAUGAGAAAACCGGUGAAGGGGAGGACCAGUGGCUGUACUACUGUGUGACUGCUGGGGUUGUUUUUGGGUUUUGGCUAUGGUUUGGACUGCUCUUUUCAGUUGAGACCUGGAGAUGUGCUCUUCUCUUCUCUGUCGAUGGCAUGCAAUCCAAGAUUAUGCAGAAGGUGUCGCAUAUUGACCAGUUUAUUUCAAAAAGUAGUAAUGAUCAAUAUAUGUAA
rnacentral:rRNA from 1 species